UACGUAGGGUGCAAGCGUUGUCCGGAAUUAUUGGGCGUAAAGAGCUCGUAGGCGGUUUGUCGCGUCUGCUGUGAAAAUCCAGGGCUUAACCCUGGACCUGCAGUGGGUACGGGCAGACUAGAGUGCGGUAGGGAGAUCGGAAUUCCGUGGUGUAGCGGUGAAAUGCGCAGAAUAUCGAGGAGGAACACCGGUGGCGAAGGCGGAUC
rnacentral:rRNA from 1 species